AAAACAGUCCUUCUCAGGACUACCAAUUUAUUACAAAAGAGAUAUAU
rfam:Megaselia scalaris, Durham, NC isolate 2 -- Noor lab, WGS project CAQQ02000000 data, contig: ctg0000159299